AGACCCGAAACCCGGUGAUCUAGCCAUGGGCAGGUUGAAGGUUGGGUAACACUAACUGGAGGACCGAACCGACUAAUGUUGAAAAAUUAGCGGAUGACCUGUGGCUGGGGGUGAAAGGCCAAUCAAACCGGGAGAUAGCUGGUUCUCCCCGAAAGCUAUUUAGGUAGCGCCUCGUGAAUUCAUCUCCGGGGGUAGAGCACUGUUUCGGCUAGGGGGCCAUCCCGGCUUACCAACCCGAUGCAAACUGCGAAUACCGGAGAAUGUUAUCACGGGAGACACACGGCGGGUGCUAACGUCCGUCGUGAAGAGGGAAACAACCCAGACCGCCAGCUAAGGUCCCAAAGUCAUGGUUAAGUGGGAAACGAUGUGGGAAGGCCCAGACAGCCAGGAUGUUGGCUUAGAAGCAGCCAUCAUUUAAAGAAAGCGUAAUAGCUCACUGGUCGAGUCGGCCUGCGCGGAAGAUGUAACGGGGCUAAACCAUGCACCGAAGCUGCGGCAGCGACGCUGAUGCGUUGUUGGGUAGGGGAGCGUUCUGUAAGCCUGCGAAGGUGGCCUGUGAGGGUUGCUGGAGGUAUCAGAAGUGCGAAUGCUGACAUAAGUAACGAUAAAGCGGGUGAAAAGCCCGCUCGCCGGAAGACCAAGGGUUCCUGUCCAACGUUAAUCGGGGCAGGGUGAGUCGACCCCUAAGGCGAGGCCGAAAGGCGUAGUCGAUGGGAAACGGGUUAAUAUUCCCGUACUUGGUGUUACUGCGAAGGGGGGACGGAGAAGGCUAUGUUGGCCGGGCGACGGUUGUCCCGGUUUAAGCGUGUAGGUGUGUGUUCCAGGUAAAUCCGGUUCACUUUAACA
rnacentral:rRNA from 3 species